GGCUGUGGCUGGAUUCAAGUAAUCCAGGAUAGGCUGUUUCCAUCUGUGAGGCCUAUUCUUGAUUACUUGUUUCUGGAGGCAGCU
ensembl:miRNA microRNA 26a-2